GACGAACGCUGGCGGCGUGCUUAACACAUGCAAGUCGAACGGAAAGGCCCUGCUUUUGUGGGGUGCUCGAGUGGCGAACGGGUGAGUAACACGUGAGUAACCUGCCCUUUACUUUGGGAUAACUUCAGGCAACUGGGGCUAAUACCGGAUAGGAGCUCCUGCUGCAUGGUGGGGGUUGGAAAGUUUCGGCGGUUGGGGAUGGACUCGGGGCUUAUCAGCUUGUUGGUGGGGUAGUGGCUUACCAAGGCUUUGACGGGUAGCCGGCCUGAGAGGGUGACCGGCCACAUUGGGACUGAGAGACGGCCCAGACUCCUACGGGAGGCAGCAGUGGGGAAUAUUGCACAAUGGGCGGAAGCCUGAUGCAGCAACGCCGCGUGCGGGAUGACGGCCUUCGGGUUGUAAACCGCUUUCGCCUGUGACGAAGCGUGAGUGACGGUAAUGGGUAAAGAAGCACCGGCUAACUACGUG
rnacentral:rRNA from 1 species